UUCCACGAUCAGUCUUUGGAUGUGCCACUUGUCCCAUCUGCCGUCGUCGACAAGCAGUCACCAGGGAAGCUCUUUUGCAUUUUACCAGCUGAAGCCAUUACAGACAACGUAAGAGGAGCACCAUCCUUAUCGGAUUCUAUCUGCACCUCUCCACCUGUCCGUGUCUCUUCAGGCUACCUGUGAUUCUUUCAUGUAAGGUCUCUGGCCUCAUCCUUAAAGUGACUUGUUGUCUCUCACUGUCUUGCGGUCCUAGGGGUGUAUAGUACUGAGUGCCAUUACCAGGUACCACACAGCUCGUAAUCCACCUGUCUGGAAACUUACUGUCUAUCAGGUUCCUGCAACGCUGGUCCUCCAAGUGUUACACUAUAUGUAUUUGUGUCUAGGUGUUUGUGUUAGUGGCUUGGUCUGUGUUACUGUGAGUGUUUGUGUGUGUUAUGUAACUGCCCCUUUCUGCAAUCAGUCUCUGGAUGGACCAUUCUUCCCGUUUGCCGUCUCCGACAAACAUUCUUCGGAGAAGCUCUUUUCCAUUUUACGAUCUCAAGCCUUUACAGACAACGUAAGAGGAGAACCCUCCUUAUCGGAUUCUAUCUGCACCUCUCCAUGUCUCUUCAGGCUAUCUGUGAUUCUUUCAUGUAAGGUCUCUGGCCUCAUCCUUUAAGUGACUUGUCGUCUUUGAC